CCUCCAGACUCCUACGGGAGGCAGCAGUGGGGAAUAUUGCACAAUGGGGGAAACCCUGAUGCAGCGACGCCGCGUGAGCGAUGAAGUAUUUCGGUAUGUAAAGCUCUAUCAGCAGGGAAGAAAAUGACGGUACCUGACUAAGAAGCCCCGGCUAACUACGUGCCAGCAGCCGCGGUAAUACGUAGGGGGCAAGCGUUAUCCGGAUUUACUGGGUGUAAAGGGAGCGUAGACGGCAAUGCAAGUCUGGAGUGAAAGGCGGGGGCCCAACCCCCGGACUGCUCUGGAAACUGUAUAGCUGGAGUGCAGGAGAGGUAAGUGGAAUUCCUAGUGUAGCGGUGAAAUGCGUAGAUAUUAGGAGGAACACCGGUGGCGAAGGCGGCCUGCUGGACUGUAACUGACGUUGAGGCUCGAAAGCGUGGGGAGCAAACAGGAUUAGAUACCCCGGUAA
rnacentral:rRNA from 1 species